rnacentral:misc_RNA from 1 species
CAACCCUCGCGCCCGGCUCUUUUGCCGGAUGCGGUGUUGGGGAUCGGCCUGCCGUCUGACGGCGGGCCGGCCCCGAAAUGGAGUGGCGACCACGCCGUAGCCUCCUCUGCGUAGUAAUCCAAUUCUCGCAGGCGGAGAGCGGUGCGGUCACGCCGUUAAACCCCCCAAACUUUACCAA